CGGCAGUGCACCAAGUCAGCUAUAGGCAAGCAGAAUGCAGUGACAGGAAAGCAAUGCACAAUAGAGUGUAAGAUCUACAGGCGAACUGCACGGUUGGAUCUUCCGAAUCCUUGGACGAUGGACGAGUGACAUUGGCCACCUCCGAUCUAGAAAGAUCAAGUCACCGGGGCAUAUUUUAAUCUAGUUAUGGCAGCAAAGGAGACACAAAAUUACCGAUUCACAAUGAGCUCCAGGUCACAGGCUCCCACAUUUGUCACAUGAACGUGUCAUUAUUCACACUGAUGGCUCCAUAAUCCUCUAACCCGGCCUGCGAGUGCUUUAUGGUCUUAUCAGCGUUCAGAGCUCGUUCCUCUGCAGAUAGCUCUUCGGUUUAUUGCCGCUGUUACCUUGAACUUAAACACAGACCUGCGGCUCAUUAACCACCUGCUUCUCUACGACGGGAACAAACUGCAAAGCCGCGCACUAGGCCUCGAUGACAUAAACCUGACAAUCGUGGAUAGUACCGUAGGGUCAGAACAAUGAACAAUAAAUAUGACAUCAUUUUCAU